CCUACGGGGGGCUGCAAUUAGGAAUCUUGCGCAAUGGGCGAAAGCCUGACGCAGCGACGCCGCGUGACUGAUGAAGUCCUUCGGGAUGUAAAAGUCUUUUGCAAAGGAAGAAGAAUGUGACGGUACUUUGCGAAUAAGCUCCGGCUAACUACGUGCCAGCAGCCGCGGUAAUACGUAGGGAGCGAGCGUUGUCCGAAUUUACUGGGCGUAAAGCGCACGUAGGCGGACUAUUAAGUUGGUGGUGAAAUGCCGAGGCUCAACCUCGGAACUGCCUCCAAAACUGUUAGUCUUGAGGUAUGGAGAGGGAACUGGAAUUCCAGGUGUAGCGGUGAAAUGCGUAGAUAUCUGGAGGAACACCCAUGGCGAAGGCAGGUUCCUGGCCAUAUCCUGACGCUGAGGUGCGAAAGCUAGGGGAGCGAACGGGAUUAGAUACCCCGGUAGUCG
rnacentral:rRNA from 1 species